rnacentral:rRNA from 1 species
AUGCACCCGCAAUCCCCGCUCUUUCCGGCUCCACUCCUUCGUCCUCCUCGGAACCGCCCCUCCCGCUCCCACUCCCUCUCGCCUCGAUCUCCUCCCCACCCCACUCCACCAGGCGCACAAGUCACGCCAAUAAAAACCUCUCUUCAUCCCCCGACACCUGGUUCACAAGAGGCAACGCCGACGACGAAAUCGCCGGCUGACACCUUGCCGGGUUUCUAUUGCUACAAUCAGAGAAUGACCAUCGGCUGCUUCGAUCCGACGAUCCCAUCCGUGACUCGAAGCGCAGCGGCCAGCACCUUCCAGCGUCUGAGUGUCACAGUGCCGGAAAAAGCAGGACAGGCAGCAGCUCAACGCAUCCGCAUGGCCAUGCUGUGCAAGUCCCUGAAAAUUUGUUCCGAGGGAAGCACUGAGGGCGCUGGCUUGGUCGUGUAG